UGGGGAAUAUUGCACAAUGGGCGCAAGCCUGAUGCAGCCAUGCCGCGUGUAUGAAGAAGGCCUUCGGGUUGUAAAGUACUUUCAGCGAGGAGGAAGGCGUUGUGGUUAAUAACCGCAACGAUUGACGUUACUCGCAGAAGAAGCACCGGCUAACUCCGUGCCAGCAGCCGCGGUAAUACGGAGGGUGCAAGCGUUAAUCGGAAUUACUGGGCGUAAAGCGCACGCAGGCGGUCUGUCAAGUCGGAUGUGAAAUCCCCGGGCUCAACCUGGGAACUGCAUCCGAAACUGGCAGGCUAGAGUCUUGUAGAGGGGGGUAGAAUUCCAGGUGUAGCGGUGAAAUGCGAAGAGAUCUGGAGGAAUACCGGUGGCGAAGGCGGCCCCCUGGACAAAGACUGACGCUCAGGUGCGAAAGCGUGGGGAGCAAACA
rnacentral:rRNA from 1 species